CUGUGGGUGCAUAUUAUUGUUGAACUGUUUGGAGUAAGUCAAAGAUGUGUCCCCUUUAUUACUAAAUAUUUUGGUGUGUUUCCUAAGAAUGUGGACAUUUUCUUGUAUAACCACAGUAGUUACUAAAAUCAGGACAUUUGAUAUUGAUACAAUAGUAAUGCUACUUUAUAAAUUAGAAAAUAAGUUGAAAAAUAAUUGGGAUAGGGUGUAAUCAGGAUAGGCUAUAUGAUUGGGAUAGGCUAUAUAAAAAAUAAUUGGACAGGCUAUAUAAUUUAAUAAUUGGGAUUAGGCUAUAUAGCAGUGUGCAGUAAAUAUGGAACUAGGCAUUAAUUUUUAUAUAUAAUUUUUUUCUUUUAAGGGAGAAGUCUGUUGGAACUUGGAGGAAACAAUGCCAUUAUUGCCUUUGAAGAUGCAGACCUCAGCUUAGUUGUUCCAUCAGCUCUCUUCGCUGCCGUGGGAACAGCUGGCCAGAGGUGUACCACUGUGAGGCGACUGUUUAUACAUGAAAGCAUCCAUGAUGAGGUUGUAAACAGACUUAAAAAGGCCUAUGCACAGAUCCGAGUUGGGAACCCAUGGGACCCUAAUGUUCUCUAUGGGCCACUCCACACCAAGCAGGCAGUGAGCAUGUUUCUUGGAGCAGUGGAAGAAGCAAAGAAAGAAGGUGGCACAGUGGUCUAUGGGGGCAAGGUUAUGGAUCGCCCUGGAAAUUACGUAGAACCGACAAUUGUGACAGGUCUUGGCCACGAUGCGUCCAUUGCACACACAGAGACUUUUGCUCCGAUUCUCUAUGUCUUUAAAUUCAAGAAUGAAGAAGAGGUCUUUGCAUGGAAUAAUGAAGUAAAACAGGGACUUUCAAGUAGCAUCUUUACCAAAGAUCUGGGCAGAAUCUUUCGCUGGCUUGGGUACAACUUUGUCUAUUUUGAAAAUUUAUAUAAGUCUGAUUUAUGUGACCUAAAGGAUCAGACUGUGGCAUUGUAAAUGUCAACAUUCCAACAAGUGGGGCUGAGAUUGGAGGUGCCUUUGGAGGAGAAAAGCACACUGGUGGUGGCAGGGAGUCUGGCAGUGAUGCCUGGAAACAGUACAUGAGAAGGUCUACUUGUACUAUCAACUACAGUAAAGACCUUCCUCUGGCCCAAGGAAUCAAGUUUCAGUAAAGGUGUUUUAGAUGAACAUCCCUUAAUUUGAGGUGUUCCGGCAGCUGUUUUUGGAGAAGACAAAGAAAAUUAAAGUUUUCCCUGAAUAAAUGCAUUAUUAUGACUGUGACAGUGACUAAUCCCCCUAUGACCCCAAAGCCCUGAUUAAAUCAAGAGACUCCUUUUUUAAAAAUCAAAAUAAAA
rnacentral:sRNA from 1 species